ensembl:snoRNA U3 Small nucleolar RNA U3
AAGACUAUACUUUCAGGGAUCAUUUCUAUAGUGUUACUAGAGAAGUUUCUCUGAACGUGUAGAGCACCGAAAGAGAGC